rnacentral:rRNA from 1 species
UACGGAGGGGCUAGCGUUGUUCGGAAUUACUGGGCGUAAAGGGCGCGUAGGCGGCGCGAUAAGUUGGGCGUGAAAGGCCCGGCUCAACCCGGGGACUGCGCUUGAUACUGUCGCGCUGUGAGUCCGGGAGAGGAUGGCGGAAUUCCCAGUGUAGAGGUGAAAUUCGUAGAUAUUGGGAAGAACACCGGUGGCGAAGGCGGCCAUCUGGACCGGCACUGACGCUGAGGCGCGAAAAGCGUGGGGAGCGAACGAGGA